rnacentral:rRNA from 1 species
GUGUCAGCAGCCGCGGUAAUACGUAGGUGGCAAGCGUUGUCCGGAAUUAUUGGGCGUAAAGCGCGCGCAGGUGGUUUCUUAAGUCUGAUGUGAAAGCCCACGGCUCAACCGUGGAGGGUCAUUGGAAACUGGGGAACUUGAGUGCAGGAGAGAAGAGUGGAAUUCCACGUGUAGCGGUGAAAUGCGUAGAGAUGUGGAGGAACACCAGUGGCGAAGGCGACUCUUUGGCCUGUAACUGACACUGAGGCGCGAAAGCGUGGGGAGCAAACAGGAUUAGAAACCCCAGUAGUCC